rnacentral:rRNA from 1 species
ACUCCUGCGGGAGGCAGCAGUGAGGAAUAUUGGACAAUGGGUGGAAGCCUGAUCCAGCCAUCCCGCGUGCAGGAAGACGGCCCUAUGGGUUGUAAACUGCUUUUAUCUGGGGAUAAACCUACUUACGUGUAAGUAGCUGAAGGUACCAGAAGAAUAAGCACCGGCUAACUCCGUGCCAGCAGCCGCGGUAAUACGGAGGGUGCAAGCGUUAUCCGGAUUUAUUGGGUUUAAAGGGUCCGUAGGCGGACUGAUAAGUCAGUGGUGAAAUCCGACAGCUUAACUGUCGAACUGCCAUUGAUACUGUUAGUCUUGAGUAAGGUUGAAGUGGCUGGAAUAAGUAGUGUAGCGGUGAAAUGCAUAGAUAUUACUUAGAACACCAAUUGCGAAGGCAGGUCACUAAGUCUUAACUGACGCUGAUGGACGAAAGCGUGGGGAGCGAACAGGAUUAGAAACCCCAGUAGUCCCA